GGGCCCGCACAAGCGGUGGAGCAUGUGGUUCAAUUCGAAGCAACGCGAAGAACCUUACCAGCCUUUGACAUCCCGGUCGCGAGCACCAGAGAUGGAGCUCUUCAGUUCGGCUGGACCGGAGACAGGUGCUGCAUGGCUGUCGUCAGCUCGUGUCGUGAGAUGUUGGGUUAAGUCCCGCAACGAGCGCAACCCUCGCCCUUAGUUGCCAUCAUUUAGUUGGGCACUCUAAGGGGACUGCCGGUGAUAAGCCGGAGGAAGGUGGGGAUGACGUCAAGUCCUCAUGGCCCUUACAGGCUGGGCUACACACGUGCUACAAUGGCGGUGACAGAGGGACGCAAAGGAGCAAUCCUUCGCAAAUCUCAAAAAGCCGUCUCAGUUCGGAUUGUGCUCUGCAACUCGAGCACAUGAAGUUGGAAUCGCUAGUAAUCGCAGAUCAGCACGCUGCGGUGAAUACGUUCCCGGGCCUU
rnacentral:rRNA from 1 species